GAUGAACGCUAGCGGCAGGCCUAACACAUGCAAGUCGAGGGAGAAGCCCUUCGGGGCAGAAACCGGCGCACGGGUGCGUAACGCGUAUGCAACCUACCUUUCACAGGGGGAUAGCCCGAGGAAAUUUGGAUUAAUACCCCAUAAUAUUAUUGGGUGGCAUCAUUUGAUAAUUAAAAUUACGAUGGUGAAAGAUGGGCAUGCGUCCUAUUAGCUAGUUGGAGUGGUAACGGCACCCCAAGGCUACGAUAGGUAGGGGUCCUGAGAGGGAGAUCCCCCACACUGGUACUGAGACAGGGACCAGACUCCUACGGGAGGCAGCAGUGAGGAAUAUUGGUCAAUGGUCGGAAGACUGAACCAGCCAUGCCGCGUGCAGGAAGAAUGCCUUAUGGGUUGUAAACUGCUUUUAUAUGGGAAGAAUAAGGAGUACGUGUACUUUGAUGACGGUACCAUAUGAAUAAGCAUCGG
rnacentral:rRNA from 1 species